UGACAUUGGGUCAUGUGGCUUUACUC
rnacentral:piRNA from 1 species